rnacentral:rRNA from 1 species
AGACCCGAAACCCGGUGAUCUAGCCAUGGGCAGGUUGAAGGUUGGGUAACACUAACUGGAGGACCGAACCGACUAAUGUUGAAAAAUUAGCGGAUGACCUGUGGCUGGGGGUGAAAGGCCAAUCAAACCGGGAGAUAGCUGGUUCUCCCCGAAAGCUAUUUAGGUAGCGCCUCGUGAAUUCAUCUCCGGGGGUAGAGCACUGUUUCGGCUAGGGGGCCAUCCCGGCUUACCAACCCGAUGCAAACUGCGAAUACCGGAGAAUGUUAUCACGGGAGACACACGGCGGGUGCUAACGUCCGUCGUGAAGAGGGAAACAACCCAGACCGCCAGCUAAGGUCCCAAAGUCAUGGUUAAGUGGGAAACGAUGUGGGAAGGCCCAGACAGCCAGGAUGUUGGCUUAGAAGCAGCCAUCAUUUAAAGAAAGCGUAAUAGCUCACUGGUCGAGUCGGCCUGCGCGGAAGAUGUAACGGGGCUAAACCAUGCACCGAAGCUGCGGCAGCGACGCUUAUGCGUUGUUGGGUAGGGGAGCGUUCUGUAAGCCUGCGAAGGUGGCCUGUGAGGGUUGCUGGAGGUAUCAGAAGUGCGAAUGCUGACAUAAGUAACGA